UAAAUACAGGAAACUCAAUGCAUUUUACCAUCCAAAAGUGUUUGACAUGCCUAAGGAAAUGGAGCAUGAGGUUAUAUUAUAUAUCAGGAGGCAUCUAGUGGUGUGCUGCAGGGAUGUGGUGCUCUGGACUUGGUUAGCAUCUUUAUCAAUGGCAAUGACAAAAAGGGCAUCCUCAAUGAAUAACUGAAAGAGUUGAAGGAGAGAAGGAAAGAAGGGAGAGUGAAUAGAGAGAACAUUUACUAAAUGUGUAAUUUUCACACACAGUGUUGCAUUUCACCUUUCCAGCAACCGUAUGGGACAGGUGCUGUUCUCCCCAUUUUAUGAAGCAGGAAAUUGAAGCUCUGAAAGGGUAAUGAAUAGGCCCACAAGGACACAGUUGGUAAAGGAAGGGCUUGAAAUUUGAACCUACUGUAUUACAAAUUCUGCAUGCAAAAGUUGAACUGUGAUACUUAUGAGAUGUGUCCUUUGAUAAAACACACACCUGACUAAAUGUACCCAGGCAAGAUGGAGGAAAUAUCAUACCUUGUCAACAACGUGUGUAAAAAAUGGGCAUCAUUAUUUAUAACUAUUUUAAGUCCUACUAACUAGGGUAGGUAAUAGUAUUCUACCCUGCCAUGACCAGGCCACUCCUGGGGCACUGAGUUUAAUACUCAGGGCGUUCAGGAGACCCAUCUAUUCACCGAUUCACCUUGGCUGCUUUUGCACCAAAAUAGAAGAGUGGAGUAGUUGCAAUAGAGCUGAAAAUAUUUACUAUCUAUCUGGUUCCUUAAAGAAAAAAUUUUCUGUGCCCUGAUCUGAACCAGUGUUUUCUAAACCUUGAUUAUACUCCCACCUCCUUAAUCUUUUUUGUGUAUGGCAUCUUUGAAGUCCAUUUACACUAUUAUUUACUUUGUAAUUUUUUAAGUCAGUACGGUAUUUUUUAAAAAUUUAAACACUAUUGUAACCUCAUCCUAAGCAAAUGAUAUCUUUGUAAU
rnacentral:lncRNA from 10 species